rnacentral:rRNA from 1 species
GACGAACGCUGGCGGCGUGCUUAACACAUGCAAGUCGAACGGAAAGGCCCUGCUGUUGUCGGGUUCUCGAAUGGCGAACGGAUGAGUAACACGUGAGUAACCUACCGUCUACUGUGGGAUAACUUCAGGAAACUGGGGCUACUACCGCAUAGUAGCUUCUGCAGCCUGGUGGGGGUUGGCAAGUUUCGGCGGGUGGGGAUGGACUCGCGGCUUAGCAGCUCGUUGGGGGGGUAGUGCGUUACCACGGCUUUGACGGGUAUCCGGCCUGAGAGGGUGACCACGCACAUUGGGACUGAGAGACGGCGCAGACUGCUACAGUAGGCAGUAGUGGGGAACAUUGCACAAUGGGCGGAAGUCUAAGGAAGCAACGCUGCGGGCGGGAUGUAGGCUUUGGGGUGGGAAACGGAGUUCGCUUGUGACGAAGCGUGAGUGACGGUAAUGGGUAAAGAAGCACCGGCUAACUACGUG